AGAGUUUGAUUCUGGCUCAGAUUGAACGCUGGCGGCAGGCUUAACACAUGCAAGUCGAGCGGGGAUAGGGUGCUUGCACCUGAUUCCUAGCGGCGGACGGGUGAGUAAUGCUUAGGAAUCUGCCUAUUAGUGGGGGACAACGUUCCGAAAGGGACGCUAAUACCGCAUACGUCCUACGGGAGAAAGCAGGGGAUCUUCGGACCUUGCGCUAAUAGAUGAGCCUAAGUCGGAUUAGCUAGUUGGUGGGGUAAAGGCCUACCAAGGCGACGAUCUGUAGCGGGUCUGAGAGGAUGAUCCGCCACACUGGGACUGAGACACGGCCCAGACUCCUACGGGAGGCAGCAGUGGGGAAUAUUGGACAAUGGGGGCAACCCUGAUCCAGCCAUGCCGCGUUGUGUGAAGAAGGCCUUUUGGUUGUAAAGCACUUUAAGCGAGGAGGAGGCUUACCUGGUUAAUACCCGGGAUAAGUGGACGUUACUCGCAGAAUAAGCACCGGCUAACUCUGUGCCAGCCGCCGC
rnacentral:rRNA from 1 species